rnacentral:rRNA from 1 species
CGGGACACGUGGUAUCCUGUCUGAAUAUGGGGGGACCAUCCUCCAAGGCUAAAUACUCCUGACUGACCGAUAGUGAACCAGUACCGUGAGGGAAAGGCGAAAAGAACCCCGGCGAGGGGAGUGAAAAAGAACCUGAAACCGUGUACGUACAAGCAGUGGGAGCACGCUUAGGCGUGUGACUGCGUACCUUUUGUAUAAUGGGUCAGCGACUUAUAUUCUGUAGCAAGGUUAACCGAAUAGGGGAGCCGAAGGGAAACCGAGUCUUAACUGGGCGUUAAGUUGCAGGGUAUAGACCCGAAACCCGGUGAUCUAGCCAUGGGCAGGUUGAAGGUUGGGUAACACUAACUGGAGGACCGAACCGACUAAUGUUGAAAAAUUAGCGGAUGACUUGUGGCUGGGGGUGAAAGGCCAAUCAAACCGGGAGAUAGCUGGUUCUCCCCGAAAGCUAUUUAGGUAGCGCCUCGUGAAUUCAUCUCCGGGGGUAGAGCACUGUUUCGGCAAGGGGGUCAUCCCGACUUACCAACCCGAUGCAAACUGCGAAUACCGGAGAAUGUUAUCACGGGAGACACACGGCGGGUGCUAACGUCCGUCGUGAAGAGGGAAACAACCCAGACCGCCAGCUAAGGUCCCAAAGUCAUGGUUAAGUGGGAAACGAUGUGGGAAGGCCCAGACAGCCAGGAUGUUGGCUUAGAAGCAGCCAUCAUUUAAAGAAAGCGUAAUAGCUCACUGGUCGAGUCGGCCUGCGCGGAAGAUGUAACGGGGCUAAACCAUGCACCGAAGCUGCGGCAGCGACGCUGAUGCGUUGUUGGGUAGGGGAGCGUUCUGUAAGCCUGUGAAGGUGUGCUGUGAGGCAUGCUGGAGGUAUCAGAAGUGCGAAUGCUGACAUAAGUAACGAUAAAGCGGGUGAAAAGCCCGCUCGCCGGAAGACCAAGGGUUCCUGUCCAACGUUAAUCGGGGCAGGGUGAGUCGACCCCUAAGGCGAGGCCGAAAGGCGUAGUCGAUGGGAAACAGGUUAAUAUUCCUGUACUUGGUGUUACUGCGAAGGGGGGACGGAGAAGGCUAUGUUGGCCGGGCGACGGUUGUCCCGGUUUAAGCGUGUAGGCUGGUUUUCCAGGCAAAUCCGGAAAAUCAAGGCUGAGGCGUGAUGACGAGGCACUACGGUGCUGAAGCAACAAAUGCCCUGCUUCCAGGAAAAGCCUCUAAGCAUCAGGUAACAUCAAAUCGUACCCCAAACCGACACAGGUGGUCAGGUAGAGAAUACCAAGGCGCUUGAGAGAACUCGGGUGAAGGAACUAGGCAAAAUGGUGCCGUAACUUCGGGAGAAGGCACGCUGAUAUGUAGGUGAAGCGACUUGCUCGUGGAGCUGAAAUCAGUCGAAGAUACCAGCUGGCUGCAACUGUUUAUUAAAAACACAGCACUGUGCAAACACGAAAGUGGACGUAUACGGUGUGACGCCUGCCCGGUGCCGGAAGGUUAAUUGAUGGGGUCAGCGCAAGCGAAGCUCUUGAUCGAAGCCCCGGUAAACGGCGGCCGUAACUAUAACGGUCCUAAGGUAGCGAAAUUCCUUGUCGGGUAAGUUCCGACCUGCACGAAUGGCGUAAUGAUGGCCAGGCUGUCUCCACCCGAGACUCAGUGAAAUUGAACUCGCUGUGAAGAUGCAGUGUACCCGCGGCAAGACGGAAAGACCCCGUGAACCUUUACUAUAGCUUGACACUGAACAUUGAGCCUUGAUGUGUAGGAUAGGUGGGAGGCUUUGAAGUGUGGACGCCAGUCUGCAUGGAGCCGACCUUGAAAUACCACCCUUUAAUGUUUGAUGUUCUAACGUUGACCCGUAAUCCGGGUUGCGGACAGUGUCUGGUGGGUAGUUUGACUGGGGCGGUCUCCUCCUAAAGAGUAACGGAGGAGCACGAAGGUUGGCUAAUCCUGGUCGGACAUCAGGAGGUUAGUGCAAUGGCAUAAGCCAGCUUGACUGCGAGCGUGACGGCGCGAGCAGGUGCGAAAGCAGGUCAUAGUGAUCCGGUGGUUCUGAAUGGAAGGGCCAUCGCUCAACGGAUAAAAGGUACUCCGGGGAUAACAGGCUGAUACCGCCCAAGAGUUCAUAUCGACGGCGGUGUUUGGCACCUCGAUGUCGGCUCAUCACAUCCUGGGGCUGAAGUAGGUCCCAAGGGUAUGGCUGUUCGCCAUUUAAAGUGGUACGCGAGCUGGGUUUAGAACGUCGUGAGACAGUUCGGUCCCUA